UAGGGAAUAUUGGUAAUCUGCGAAAGCGGGAACCAGCAACGCCGCGUGUGCGAUGAAGGCCUUCGGGUCGUAAAGCACUUUUUGAGGGGACGAGGAAGGACGGUACCCUCAGAAUAAGUCUCGGCUAACUACGUGCCAGCAGCCGCGGUAACACGUAGGAGACGAGCGUUAUCCGGAUUUACUGGGCGUAAAGCGCGUGCAGGCGGUUUGGUAAGUUGGAUGUGAAAGCUCCUGGCUUAACUGGGAGAGGUCGUUCAAUACUGCCAGACUAGAGGAUAGUAGAGGGAGGUGGAAUUCUGGGUGUAGUGGUGAAAUGCGUAGAUAUCCAGAGGAACACCAGUGGCGAAAGCGGCCUCCUGGACUAUUUCUGACGCUCAGACGCGAAAGCUAGGGUAGCAAACGGG
rnacentral:rRNA from 1 species